UUCAGACGGUCAUGUAGCGACU
rnacentral:miRNA from 1 species